rnacentral:rRNA from 1 species
CACGUAGGGUGCGAGCGUUGUCCGGAAUUAUUGGGCGUAAAGAGCUCGUAGGCGGCUCGGUAAGUCAGGUGUGAAACCUCCAGGCUCAACCUGGAGACGCCACUUGAUACUGCCAUAGCUAGAGUCCGGUAGGGGAGCGUGGAAUUUCUGGUGUAGCGGUGAAAUGCGCAGAUAUCAGAAGGAACACCAGCGGCGAAGGCGGCGCUCUGGGCCGGAACUGACGCUGAGGAGCGAAAGCGUGGGUAGCAAACAGG